UACAAGGUGCAGGCGAAAAUCAUCGCUUAUGCUGUUAGAUAGUAGCAACUGACUCGCUUCCUGUCGGUCACUCUCUUCUAAAUACAAUUUGAAUUUUGACGAGGUAAUGCAGGUUCAUUUCAAGGAUUCUAGAAAUUGUACCAGUUCCAGUCUGGAUCCAGCCUAACUUGUGAACACCACAGAAGACAUCAAAGCUACAGAGUUUAAAUAACUAGAACUGGACAAACAGAAUUGGCAAAAAUCAAAGCAAACACCACUACAUUACUAUAUUAUUAUUAAAACAAUAAAAAUAUAAAAGAGAUAGAUGGACUUGGUGAGAUUUACCUGUUUUGUGAGGAUUUUGUUUAGCUGUAGAUUUAAAUAUCCAUUGAGGAAAAAUGUGUGCACCAUUAAAAACUGAUUAUUUAUAUUGAUCUCUGUCGCUAUCUUAUGGCGGAACAAUGUAAAGCCAACUGCCAAAGAAUUUCCAUUAAAUAUUACUGCAAUUUAUAAUCAAAUGUCAUUUGUUGAACAACAACAUGUAACAAACAAGAAUAUAAAGAUGCCAAAUAAAUAAGUCAAAUUGUUAAUGGAUGGCAACAUUUUGUCUGUUUAACUGAACACAAUGCUUUUUAUGCAUCUGACCGCAA